AAUGGGUCAGCGACUUAUAUUCUGUAGCAAGGUUAACCGAAUAGGGGAGCCGAAGGGAAACCGAGUCUUAACUGGGCGUUAAGUUGCAGGGUAUAGACCCGAAACCCGGUGAUCUAGCCAUGGGCAGGUUGAAGGUUGGGUAACACUAACUGGAGGACCGAACCGACUAAUGUUGAAAAAUUAGCGGAUGACUUGUGGCUGGGGGUGAAAGGCCAAUCAAACCGGGAGAUAGCUGGUUCUCCCCGAAAGCUAUUUAGGUAGCGCCUCGUGAAUUCAUCUCCGGGGGUAGAGCACUGUUUCGGCAAGGGGGUCAUCCCGACUUACCAACCCGAUGCAAACUGCGAAUACCGGAGAAUGUUAUCACGGGAGACACACGGCGGGUGCUAACGUCCGUCGUGAAGAGGGAAACAACCCAGACCGCCAGCUAAGGUCCCAAAGUCAUGGUUAAGUGGGAAACGAUGUGGGAAGGCCCAGACAGCCAGGAUGUUGGCUUAGAAGCAGCCAUCAUUUAAAGAAAGCGUAAUAGCUCACUGGUCGAGUCGGCCUGCGCGGAAGAUGUAACGGGGCUAAACCAUGCACCGAAGCUGCGGCAGCGACACUAAGUGUUGUUGGGUAGGGGAGCGUUCUGUAAGCCUGUGAAGGUGUACUGUGAGGUAUGCUGGAGGUAUCAGAAGUGCGAAUGCUGACAUAAGUAACGAUAAAGCGGGUGAAAAGCCCGCUCGCCGGAAGACCAAGGGUUCCUGUCCAACGUUAAUCGGGGCAGGGUGAGUCGACCCCUAAGGCGAGGCCGAAAGGCGUAGUCGAUGGGAAACAGGUUAAUAUUCCUGUACUUGGUGUUACUGCGAAGGGGGGACGGAGAAGGCUAUGUUGGCCGGGCGACGGUUGUCCCGGUUUAAGCGUGUAGGCUGGUUUUCCAGGCAAAUCCGGAAAAUCAAGGCUGAGGCGUGAUGACGAGGCACUACGGUGCUGAAGCAACAAAUGCCCUGCUUCCAGGAAAAGCCUCUAAGCAUCAGGUAACAUCAAAUCGUACCCCAAACCGACACAGGUGGUCAGGUAGAGAAUACCAAGGCGCUUGAGAGAACUCGGGUGAAGGAACUAGGCAAAAUGGUGCCGUAACUUCGGGAGAAGGCACGCUGAUAUGUAGGUGAAGCGACUUGCUCGUGGAGCUGAAAUCAGUCGAAGAUACCAGCUGGCUGCAACUGUUUAUUAAAAACACAGCACUGUGCAAACACGAAAGUGGACGUAUACGGUGUGACGCCUGCCCGGUGCCGGAAGGUUAAUUGAUGGGGUUAGCGCAAGCGAAGCUCUUGAUCGAAGCCCCGGUAAACGGCGGCCGUAACUAUAACGGUCCUAAGGUAGCGAAAUUCCUUGUCGGGUAAGUUCCGACCUGCACGAAUGGCGUAAUGAUGGCCAGGCUGUCUCCACCCGAGACUCAGUGAAAUUGAACUCGCUGUGAAGAUGCAGUGUACCCGCGGCAAGACGGAAAGACCCCGUGAACCUUUACUAUAGCUUGACACUGAACAUUGAGCCUUGAUGUGUAGGAUAGGUGGGAGGCUUUGAAGUGUGGACGCCAGUCUGCAUGGAGCCGACCUUGAAAUACCACCCUUUAAUGUUUGAUGUUCUAACGUUGGCCCCUGAUCGGGGUUGCGGACAGUGUCUGGUGGGUAGUUUGACUGGGGCGGUCUCCUCCUAAAGAGUAACGGAGGAGCACGAAGGUUGGCUAAUCCUGGUCGGACAUCAGGAGGUUAGUGCAAUGGCAUAAGCCAGCUUGACUGCGAGCGUGACGGCGCGAGCAGGUGCGAAAGCAGGUCAUAGUGAUCCGGUGGUUCUGAAUGGAAGGGCCAUCGCUCAACGGAUAAAAGGUACUCCGGGGAUAACAGGCUGAUACCGCCCAAGAGUUCAUAUCGACGGCGGUGUUUGGCACCUCGAUGUCGGCUCAUCACAUCCUGGGGCUGAAGUAGGUCCCAAGGGUAUGGCUGUUCGCCAUUUAAAGUGGUACGCGAGCUGGGUUUAGAACGUCGUGAGACAGUUCGGUCCCUAUCUGCCGUGGGCGCUGGAGAACUGAGGGGGGCUGCUCCUAGUACGAGAGGACCGGAGUGGACGCAUCACUGGUGUUCGGGUUGUCAUGCCAAUGGCACUGCCCGGUAGCUAAAUGCGGAAGAGAUAAGUGCUGAAAGCAUCUAAGCACGAAACUUGCCCCGAGAUGAGUUCUCCCUGACUCCUUGAGAGUCCUGAAGGAACGUUGAAGACGACGACGUUGAUAGGCCGGGUGUGUAAGCGCAGCGAUGCGUUGAGCUAACCGGUACUAAUGAACCGUGAGG
rnacentral:rRNA from 1 species